GAUGGCGACCGGCGCACGGGUGAGUAACACGUAUCCAACCUGCCGAUGACUCGGGGAUAGCCUUUCGAAAGAACGAUUAAUACCCGAUGGCAUAGUUCUUCCGCAUGGUAGAACUAUUAAAGAAUUUCGGUCAUCGAUGGGGAUGCGUUCCAUUAGGUUGUUGGCGGGGUAACGGCCCACCAAGCCUUCGAUGGAUAGGGGUUCUGAGAGGAAGGUCCCCCACAUUGGAACUGAGACACGGUCCAAACUCCUACGGGAGGCAGCAUG
rnacentral:rRNA from 1 species